AAAAAAAAAAAAAAAAAAAAAACAAUGGCAAGCCAUGUCAUUUUUAUGUUUGAUUCCUUUU
rnacentral:ribozyme from 16 species